UACGGGGGGGGUAAGCGUUGUUCGGAAUUACUGGGCGUAAAGGGCUCGUAGGCGGCCAACUAAGUCAUACGUGAAAUCCCUCAGCUUAACUGGGGAACUGCGUGUGAUACUGGAUGGCUUGGAUUUGGGAGAGGGAUGCGGAAUUCCAGGUGUAGCGGUGAAAUGCGUAGAUAUCUGGAGGAACACCGGUGGCGAGGGCGGCAUCCUGGACCAAUAUUGACGCUGAGGAGCGAAAGCCAGGGGAGCAAACGGG
rnacentral:rRNA from 1 species